rnacentral:misc_RNA from 1 species
UCCGAGUUGACCCCGGCAGUCUCCUAUGAGUCCCCGGCCGAACCGCUGGCAACAUAGAACGAGGGUUGCGCUCGUUGCGGGACUUAACCCAACAUCUCACGACACGAGCUGACGACAACCAUGCACCACCUGUGCACCAGCCACAAAGGGAAACCACAUCUCUGCAGUCGUCCGGUGCAUGUCAAGCCUUGGUAAGGUUCUUCGCGUUGCAUCGAAUUAAUCCGCAUGCUCCGCCGCUUGUGCGGGCCCCCGUCAAUUCCUUUGAGUUUUAGCCUUGCGGCCGUACUCCCCAGGCGGGGCGCUUAAUGCGUUAGCUGCGGCACGGACCCCGUGGAAUGGGACCCACACCUAGCGCCCAACGUUUACGGCGUGGACUAC